ensembl:lncRNA
UAUAUAUAUAUAUAUAUAUAUAUAUAUGGUGGAAAAGUGCUUCACGCCAUCUCACAGAAUGAACUACGUUCAAAUAGUCCAUCCAGCACUGCAGCGCUGACCUGGCUGCCCGUCUGGAGGGCUGUGCGCGAGUGUGUGUGUGUUUGUGUGUGGGUGUGGGUUCCUAAUCCGGGGCCACAAUAGGGGCUAACUGCGGCGCUAAGCGGGUGCUAAUUAGCGUGUGUUUCCAGGGGAAGCCCCAAGUCCGACCCGUUUGUAACCCGAUCAGCCGGCGCUCUGCUCCCUCCUCCCCGUGGGCCUGUCAGGGAAGCGGCAAAACCUUUAUUGUUCGUGUUUGUCGUCACAAAAGAGCUGAUUGUCACCUUCCCUGGAAUAUCAUGUACCUUUUAUUGUCUCGGUCAUCUGAGAUUAAAAACAGUGGUAAAAAAGUGUGUGUGUUUGUGUGUGUGUGUGUGUGUGUGUGAGUGUGUGUGUGUGUGAGUGUGUGAGUGUGUGAGUGUGUGAGUGAGUGAGUGAGUGAGUGUGCAUGUGUCUUAAGGUCCGUGUGAGUGUGCGUGUCUGUGUGAGUGUGCGUGUGUGUUUGUCUUAAGGGCUGUGUGCGUGUGUGUCUUAAGGUGUGUGUCUCUGUUAAGCUGGAUCUCAGGUCUCACCCCAGUUCUCCUUUUUACAACAUUUAAAUUCAGCGGGAAAAUGUUUGCUCACUUUUUAUUCCUUUCGGUCUCCAUCACCCCCACCUCCCAGUAAGCACCAGACCUCCAUCAGCGCCACACUCCCACUGAGCAACACACCCACUCAGACGAGCAGUAUGCACCCAACUCUCUGCUCCUCUCUCCUGCUUGUCUCAAUGCAAGCCCGGCCUCUCUGUGGGUAAGCCACAAUUCUCUCAGGUAAACUCUCUUUCUCGGUUGCUCUCUCUAUGUCUCUGUCUCUCUUUUCUCUGUCUCUGUCUCUCUGUCUCUCUGUCUCUGUCUCUCUCAAUCUGCAUCUCUAUCUUCAGUGUAGUUUCUCAAUGCUGAUCAUUCCCGUGUGUUUCUCUGGUGUUUUCCAUCUUGGCCAUGUGUCUCAGCUUUCAAAUAGUCACACAAGGAAUGAAUGGGCGGGUUUCACUGAGUUUAUUCAUGUUGAGUUACUAUGUGUUGCGUUAUGUUGGCUAUUUAAAACGCUGAAUGGUUUUGUUAUGGUAAUUGACUAUCACUGCUUUCUCUGACUCUUGAGUUAUUUUUUAUGGCUCCUCUUUUGCACCUCAAUGAGUUUGCUGUUAGUAAGGAGGCGUGUUUAGUGUUUAGUGUUAAGUACAUUGUUAGUUAAGAGACGUGUUUAGUGUUUUGAGAUUAGUGUUAAGUACGCUGUUAGAAAGAAGGCGUAUUCAGUGUUUAGUGUCAAGUACCCUGUUAGUUAGGAGAUGUGUUAAGUACAUCGUUAGUUAAGAGACGUGUUUAGUGUUUUGUGAUUAGUGUUAAGUACGCUGCGUAUUCAGUGUCUAGUGUUAAGUACGCUGUUAGUUAGAAGAUGUGUUGAGUGACAAGUGUUAAGUAUGCUGUUGGUUUGGAGACGUGUUAAGUACGCUGCAAGUCAGAAGUGUUUUGUGUGCCUACUAGUUAGACGAUGUGUUUCAUGUGCUUAGUUAAGGGGUGUGUUUAGUGUGGUGUUAGUUAAAUGUGUUUAGUGUGCUAAAUUAAGGAUGUGCUUAGUCAGGACGUGUGUUUAGUUAGAUUAGUAAAGAUGUGUGUUCAGUUCGGACAUAUGUUUCGCGUGCUUAGUCCGGAUGAGUGUUUAGUAUGCUGUGAGUUAGCAUGUUUGUUUGAGCGUAAAUACAACUGAAACAACAUCAAUUAAGUGAGGAUACCAAGGGAACAGUCAGGUCUUUGUAAAAAAGAGCCCCAGUUAUGUUUGUUGACCAGAGAUGAUUGACAUCUGCGGCCCAGUAAAAAGAAGUACAUCCAAAAAAGGAAAAUUGGCACCUGUAAUAGCGUUCUGUUCAGCCUCAUGAACAGAACGUUAAUUAAGUUACCAAAAGUACUGAUUUUAUUUUCCGCCCCGUGUCACUACAUUUAGCCCCGGCCUCCUCUGGCUGCCCACUGGGCCUCCUUGGCUUUGAUUUGGAGGCUGUAUUGACCUGCAGUGCAAUGGCUAGUGUUUAAUCAAAGUGAUGCUUUGCUCACUGCCAGAGAGAGAGAGAGAGAGAGAGAGAGAGAGAGAGAGAGAGAGAGAGAGAGAGAGAGAGAGAGAGAGAGAGAGAGAGAGAGAG